rnacentral:rRNA from 3 species
AUGGUUAAGUCCUCGAUCUAUUAGUAUUCGUCAGCUCCACAUGUCACCAUGCUUCCACCUCGAACCUAUCAACCUGAUCAUCUUUCAGGGAUCUUACUAGCUUACGCUAUGGGAAAUCUCAUCUUGAGGGGGGCUUCAUGCUUAGAUGCUUUCAGCACUUAUCCCUUCCGCACAUAGCUACCCAGCUAUGCCCUUGGCAGAACAACUGGUACACCAGCGGUGCGUCCAUCCCGGUCCUCUCGUACUAAGGACAGCUCCUCUCAAAUUUCCUACGCCCACGACGGAUAGGGACCGAACUGUCUCACGACGUUCUGAACCCAGCUCGCGUACCGCUUUAAUGGGCGAACAGCCCAACCCUUGGGACCGACUACAGCCCCAGGAUGCGAUGAGCCGACAUCGAGGUGCCAAACCUCCCCGUCGAUGUGGACUCUUGGGGGAGAUAAGCCUGUUAUCCCCGGGGUAGCUUUUAUCCGUUGAGCGAUGGCCCUUCCAUGCGGAACCACCGGAUCACUAAGCCCGACUUUCGUCCCUGCUCGACUUGUAGGUCUCGCAGUCAAGCUCCCUUAUGCCUUUGCACUCUACGAAUGAUUUCCAACCAUUCUGAGGGAACCUUUGGGCGCCUCCGUUACACUUUAGGAGGCGACCGCCCCAGUCAAACUGCCCACCUGACACUGUCUCCCGGGUCGAUAAGACCCGUAGGUUAGAAUUUCAAUACAGUCAGGGCGGUAUCCCACCAGCGCCUCCACCGAAGCUAGCGCUCCGGUUUCAAAGGCUCCCGCCUAUCCUGUACAAACUGUACCAAAAUUCAAUAUCAGGCUACAGUAAAGCUCCACGGGGUCUUUCCGUCCUGUCGCGGGUAACCUGCAUCUUCACAGGUACUAUAAUUUCACCGAGUCUCUGGUUGAGACAGUGCCCAAAUCGUUACACCUUUCGUGCGGGUCGGAACUUACCCGACAAGGAAUUUCGCUACCUUAGGACCGUUAUAGUUACGGCCGCCGUUUACUGGGGCUUCAGUUCAGAGCUUCGCUUACGCUAACCCCUCUCCUUAACCUUCCAGCACCGGGCAGGUGUCACCCCCUAUACUUCGCCUUACGGCUUCGCAGAGAGCUGUGUUUUUGCUAAACAGUCGCUUGGGCCUAUUCACUGCGGCUUUCCGUUAAGAAAGCACCCCUUCUCCCGAAGUUACGGGGUCAUUUUGCCGAGUUCCUUAACCAGAGUUCUCUCGCACACCUUAGGAUUCUCUCCUCGCCUACCUGUGUCGGUUUGCGGUACAGGCACCUUUUAUCUCGCUAGAAGCUUUUCUUGGCAGCGGGGAAUCAAAGACUUCGCUCCAUAAGGAGCUUCCCCAUCACAGCUCAGCCUUCACGAUAAGCGGAUUUGCCUACUUAUCAGCCUAACUGCUUGGACGUGCACAACCAAUCGCACGCUUCUUCUAUCCUUCUGCGUCCCUCCAUUGCUCAAACGAUAAAGAGGUGGUACAGGAAUAUCAACCUGUUGUCCAUCGCCUACGCCUGUCGGCCUCGGCUUAGGUCCUGACUAACCCUGAGCGGACGAGCCUUCCUCAGGAAACCUUAGGCAUUCGGUGGACGGGAUUCUCACCCGUCUUUCGCUACUCAUACCGGCAUUCUCACUUCUAAGCACUCCACCAGUCCUUCCGGUCUGACUUCACUGUCCUUAGAACGCUCCCCUACCACUGAUACCAUUGGUAUCAAUCCGCAGCUUCGGUGGUGUAUUUAGCCCCGGUACAUUUUCGGCGCAGAGUCACUCGACUAGUGAGCUAUUACGCACUCUUUAAAUGGUGGCUGCUUCUAAGCCAACAUCCUAGUUGUCUAAGCAACUCCACAUCCUUUUCCACUUAAUACACACUUUGGGACCUUAGCUGGCGGUCUGGGCUGUUUCCCUUUUGACUACGGAUCUUAUCACUCGCAGUCUGACUCCUAAGGAUAAGUCAUUGGCAUUCGGAGUUUGACUGAAUUCGGUAAUCCGAUGAGGACCCCUAGUCCAAUCAGUGCUCUACCUCCAAGACUCUUACACUUAAGGCUAGCCCUAAAGCUAUUUCGGGGAGAACCAGCUAUCUCCAGGUUCGAUUGGAAUUUCUCCGCUACCCACACCUCAUCCCCGCACUUUUCAACGUGCGUGGGUUCGGGCCUCCAUUCAGUGUUACCUGAACUUCACCCUGGACAUGGGUAGAUCACCUGGUUUCGGGUCUACGACCACGUACUAAACGCCCUAUUCAGACUCGCUUUCGCUGCGGCUCCGCCUCUUCAGCUUAACCUCGCACGGGAUCGUAACUCGCCGGUUCAUUCUACAAAAGGCACGCCAUCACCCGUUAACGGGCUCUGACUAUUUGUAGGCACACGGUUUCAGGAUCUCUUUCACUCCCCUUCCGGGGUGCUUUUCACCUUUCCCUCACGGUACUGGUUCACUAUCGAUCACUAGGGAGUAUUUAGCCUUGGGAGAUGGUCCUCCCAGAUUCCGACGGAAUUUCACGUGUUCCGCCGUACUCAGGAUACAUUCAAGAGAGAACGAAGUUUCGACUACGGGGUUGUUACCCUCUACGACGGACCUUUCCAGGUCGCUUCGUCUACCUCGUUCCUUUGUAACUCCGUAUAGAAUGUCCUACAACCCCAAGAGGCAAGCCUCUUGGUUUGGGCUAUGUUCCGUUUCGCUCGCCGCUACUCAGGAAAUCGCAUUUGCUUUCUCUUCCUCCAGGUACUUAGAUGUUUCAGUUCCCUGGGUCUGUCUUCCUUACCCUAUGUAUUCAGAUAAGGAUACCAUACCAUUACGUAUGGUGGGUUUCCCCAUUCGGAAAUCUUCGGAUCAAAGCUUACUUACAGCUCCCCGAAGCAUAUCGGCGUUAGUCCCGUCCUUCAUCGACUCCUAGUGUCAAGGCAUCCACCGUGCGCCCUUUCUAACUUAA